rnacentral:rRNA from 1 species
UCCUACGGGGGGCAGCAGUGGGGAAUCUUGCACAAUGGAGGAAACUCUGAUGCAGCGACGCCGCGUGAGUGAUGAAGCCCUUCGGGGUGUAAAGCUCUUUCGACAGGAACGAUAAUGACGGUACCUGAAGAAGAAGCUGCGGCUAACUACGUGCCAGCAGCCGCGGUAAUACGUAGGCAGCAAGCGUUGUUCGGAAUUACUGGGCGUAAAGAGUGUGUAGGCGGUGCUCUAAGUUUGGUGUGAAAUCUCCCGGCUCAACCGGGAGGCUGCAUCGAAUACUGGAAUGCUAGAGGGUGGGAGAGGUAAGCGGAAUUCCUGGUGUAGCGGUGAAAUGCGUAGAUAUCAGGAGGAACACCUGUGGUGUAGACAGCUUACUGGACCACUUCUGACGCUGAGACACGAAAGCGUGGGUAGCAAACAGGAUUAGAUACCCCAGUAGUCU